rnacentral:lncRNA from 1 species
AUUUUUGGGCAGCUUACAAGUCGAAUUAGACCAAGGUGUUAUUGAAAGAGUUGCUCUACAAACUGAGGACUUCAACUUUUAUUUAGGGUAUUUCUUGAGCUUAGUUCAGAAAAUUGGAGGAACACCCUGUAACGACCUCGAUUAAAAUCCUUCGCGUUAAUCUUAAUCCGAGUCCCUGAUCACCUGUCUCAGUUUACCAAGCCUAAGUGCUCAACCUCCA